CUCGCCAUUCCUGUAAUGGCUGCUUCCUAGAAGGUAAUGUACGAACUCGUCUCCAAAGGAUACUUAGGUUGCACCAGUGUAUUUGUAAAACAGGAGCAAAUUUGGACCUUGCCGGGCCAAAAGGUCGUGUCACGUGGAACCUCUUAAUCUCAGCAUCCGGAGCUCCAGGAAGGGAAAAUUUCAAGUCAGAUAGAAUUCUAUAUAUACCAUUUCUUUGGGCCUGUUAUUUGUCAUGUGUUCAUUUUGUCAUUUGAAAAGGGAGGAAUUUUUAAUGGUUCCUUUUUGUUUCCAUGUUUAAUUUCUAGGAACCUUCAGCCCUCAAGAUUCCAACAUCAUGACCUCAGUUUCAACACAGUUGUCCUUAGUCCUCAUGUCACUGCUUUUGGUGCUGCCUGUUGUGGAAGCAGUAGAAGCCGGUGAUGCAAUCGCCCUUUUGUUAGGUGUGGUUCUCAGCAUUACAGGCAUUUGUGCCUGCUUGGGGGUAUAUGCACGAAAAAGAAAUGGACAGAUGUGACUUUGAAAGGCCUACUGAGUCAAACCUCACCCUGAAAACCUUUGCGCUUUAGAGGCUAAACCUGAGAUUUGGUGUGUGAAAGGUUCCAAGAAUCAGUAAAUAAGGGAGUUUCACAUUUUUCAUUGUUUCCAUGAAAUGGCAACAAACAUACAUUUAUAAAUUGAAAAAAAAAUGUUUUCUUUACAACAAAUAAUGCACAGAAAAAUGCAGCCUAUAAUUUGCUAGUUAGGUAGUCAAAGAAGUAAGAUGGCUGAAAUUUACAUAAGUAAUAUUUCAUAAUCUUAGAAUUCUCUCAAAGCAUGUGAAAUAGGAAGAAGGAAGUUCUUGCCCAGAAUCUUAGGAAAUCACCACUGUUCGGUUAUAAUCACUGCCUCCUGAAUCGUUGAGGAGUCUUUU
rnacentral:lncRNA from 1 species